GGCACCCUCGUUGGUCGUGGGGAGUCAGGUAAGGCACUGGUCUGACCAGCUCCAGAGACGGAGGACUAAAGUCACCUCUGGAACCUGAGCCACAGGAGGCUAAAGAGGAGGUGGAGGCGGUGUCGUCCUCAAAUCUGUGCGGAAUACGGUCACGGAUGUCCAAGUUCUUCAAGGAAAAAAGCAAAAAGUGACCAGCUUCCAGACCAAAAUGCCAUUUAUUCAGUCAGAG